rnacentral:rRNA from 1 species
AAAAUUUUUUUUUUUUAAAUAGUGUUACAAAGAUAUACAUGUGGACCUUUUUAUAAUCAUUAGCAGAAACUGCACGACAAAGGCAGCAGGAGCCCUGCAAUUCCGCGAGACCAGCUCCUAUUUGCUGGGGAUAGACUGUCUCCAUUUCGGCAGGACACAAUGGAGAAACGGCUCCGUGUGCAAUUUCUAGCAAGGUGCAACACUCAGAUUGUGGUCAACAUUGUGAAAAUGUUGGCCAUCGCGACCUAGGGAACCGUGCAGUAAGCUACUUCUGGCAACGUUUAACGCUAUUUCACUACACUACGCGUUCAGGUGGUGAAUAUGCACUUAGUAGCUCAACAACUUGCGUGACGUGGCGCGGGAUUAGGCCGACGCCAUACGUGGGGAAACUCGCAGUAACAUAGGGAAGCCCUCAGAAAAGAUUUUGUGGUCAAAAGUCAGGAGAGAGAAACCUAGCGCAAGAGAAUCUACGCAGAGCGGGUAUCGUACUCCCCAGUGAGAUUACGCCCUCGCACCUCAGGGAGCCUCUAGUCUGUGCGAACACUGUCACAACUCGAGAGCAGAGGUUCAGGGGUGCAGAACAUCUGGACACUGAUGUUKUGUACUGGAGAGACACCAUAUUCUUGGGGGAUCUGAAUUUGUAUAGAAU